rnacentral:rRNA from 1 species
UACGGAGGGUGCGAGCGUUAUCCGGAAUCACUGGGUUUAAAGGGUGCGCAGGCGGCGCGCCCAGUCAGGGGUGAAAUCCCGCCGCUCAACGGUGGAACUGCCCCUGAUACUGGCGUGCUCGGAUGGGCGCGAGGCAGGCGGAACGUGGCAUGUAGCGGUGAAAUGCUUAGAUAUGCCACAGAACACCGAUUGCGGAGGCAGCCUGCCAGGGCCCUAUCGACGCUGAGGCACGAAAGCGUGGGGAGCGAACAGG